UACGGGGUAGAGCAGCGGCCAGCUCACCAGUCUCAUUGGCUGGAGGUCGUCGGUUCGAGUCCGGCCCCCGUUA
rnacentral:tRNA from 1 species